AUACGAAGGGUGCAAGCGUUACUCGGAAUUACUGGGCGUAAAGCGUGCGUAGGUGGUUGUUUAAGUCUGUCGUGAAAGCCCUGGGCUCAACCUGGGAAUGGCGAUGGAAACUGGACGACUAGAGUGUGGCAGAGGGUAGUGGAAUUCCUGGUGUAGCAGUGAAAUGCGUAGAGAUCAGGAGGAACAUCCGUGGCGAAGGCGACUGCCUGGGCCAACACUGACACUGAGGCACGAAAGCGUGGGGAGCAAACAGGAUUAGAUUCCCUGGUAGUCCAUGCCCUAAACGAUGCGAACUGGAUGUUGGGUGCAAUUUGGCACGCAGUAUCGAAGCUAACGCGUUAAGUUCGCCGCCUGGGGAGUACGGUAGCAAGACUGAAACUCAAAUGAAUUGACG
rnacentral:rRNA from 1 species